GGAGUUAGCCGGUGCUUCUUCUGUGAGUGAUGUCCUUCCUGCCGGCUAUUAACCCGCAGGCCUUCUUCCUCACUGAAAGUGCUUUACAACCCGAAGGCCUUCUUCACACACGCGGCAUGGCUGGAUCAGGGUUGCCCCCAUUGUCCAAUAUUCCCCACUGCUGCCUCCCGUAGGAGUCUGGGCCGUGUCUCAGUCCCAGUGUGGCUGAUCAUCCUCUCAGACCAGCUACGGAUAGUCGCCUUGGUGAGCCGUUACCUCACCAACCAGCUAAUCCGACAUAGGCUCAUCCGAUAGCGCGAGGCCCGAAGGUCCCCCGCUUUCCCCCGUAGGGCGUAUGCGGUAUUAGCCUGGGUUUCCCCAGGUUAUCCCCCACUACCGGGCAGAUUCCUAUGCAUUACUCACCCGUCCGCCGCUCGCCACCAGGGAGCAAGCUCCCCGUGCUGCCGCUCGACUUGCAUGUGUUAGGCCUGCCGCCAGCGUUCAAUCUGAGCCAGGAUCAAACUCUGA
rnacentral:rRNA from 1 species